rnacentral:lncRNA from 1 species
UACACUCGAUUAGAGAUCGUACAAAAACUAGCGUUGUGAUGUAACUGAAGCCGUCAGAUCAAAAGGAUUAUAGAAUGUUUUGUUGUCCAUUGUGCUAAUCCAAUGAGGUAUUGGACUCUAAACAUUUGAAUUAGUAUCGGAUUAACAAUGAUGUGACAUCAGGUCAACCAUUUACUUCCGACCUCAUCACAUACGAACACUAAUAUCUUCCCAUCAAUAGUCUCCCACCGCAUUUUCCUUUCAUUUAGUUUACUACAUACACGACAUCUUUGAUUCAACCCUACGACGGCCCAACGUGGCCGACGGGAAAGAGUAAAGGAGACAUUCGAAUAUUCCUAAGGAGAUAUGCUUCAACUGUAGAGAGAGAAAGACAGAGAGCUCCGCUGUUGAAAUCGAACGGUUGUGAUUACAGAUCCUAUGUGUAAUCGUCCAGGCGGUGAUGAUAGUAUCUAUCACACGACUCACUUUUCGUAUGAGUACUUAUAUUUUAUAAGCGUUGUCCCCUCCACACCACCAAAAAAAUCGUUCCCCUGAUAGUGAUAAGAUUGCCUCGGAAUUGAAGAUGAAACAUCACCGACGAAAGGAACGAAACGGCUCGAUGACCGACGCACCACCAAUUUCUUCUCCGGUCCGACACCGCAAGUCGGCAGCGUCUAUUUGCGAGCAGUCAAAACCUUUUGGUAUUUACAUGUAGGAUAAAUAAUUAAAGAACGAUUAAGAUUUCUUUAUUUUUCGAUAUUUUUUUAUUCACGCUAAAAAAAAAACGAAUCAUAUGCGGACAGGAGAGGAGUGGCUGACGUACUCACGAGUAAAGAGCACGGGCCACGUGGAGGGAUCUCGUCGCGUCCAACGCCGGUGCUUCGUUGGAUCCCCACGCCCGUCGCAACGGAUCCCGCACAACGCAUGCGACCGUCACACGAUGCCACACGAGACUUGUGGAGGGAGGAGAGUCGCGGAGAGAUCAAGGGGAGGGCCUCGAUUCAAUGUGUCUUGGGAAAUGAUGCCGCUAUUCGAAGCAGCUGAGAGAUUGACCGUCCAAAUGUCUUCUGUUUUGGGAGCUGGCAGACUACUCAC